UUUAAUUUUAUAUUUGAUUAAAAUCAAGAGAUUGAAAAACCAAGGUUUCCCACGAGAUUGUUUACUCUGCAGUUGCCAGAGCAUCAACAUGUGUCAUUGGCAGAUUGUGAAUCAAGUGAUUCGGAAUUAAGUGAUUCUGAUGACAUAUCUGAGACCAGCAGUGAUGAAAAUGAAUCUUCUACCUCUCACAGUCCUUGUCUUACUGACAGUCUUGCUCAGUGGACCAGUGGAUUCACUGUUAAAGAUUCUGAGGGAAAAUGGGCAUCGAGAGCUUCCUAAAACAGCAAGAACUUUGUUUGAGACUUGUGACUGUAUUUUUGCAGGUCAGAUCUGGCAUGCAAUACAUCUACCUUGAUUGCAAAGAAAAACUCUUGAAACACAUGUAUCCCAACAAUGUUUUAAGUAAGUUUAGGGAAUUAGAUAUUUCUUUGAACGUUGAUGGUUUACCUCUCUUUAAAAGUAGCAGUCUGUCACUGUGGCCUGUUCUGUGUAAAAUUACCUUGGAACACAGUGUCAUAUGCAUUGUUGUAACUCCAGCUGUGUGUAGUCUUUAGUGAGGUGGAGUGGUGUAGUGGGCUAAGCACAGCACAACAAACCAAACACCAAAGCAACCCUGUGUUUUAUGUAUUAUUUUAUAUAAUUAUGUACAGUUUUAUUUGUCUUGGUUCAGAUAUUGCUGUUAGUUAUUGUUGUGCAGCAUAAUAUAGCUUUAUAUUUAUUUUCAGAUCAAAUGGCUGAGCAUCAUGAGAGGCAACACGCCUGGGGAGUCAGUCAGAAGACUACUUAGAAAACUCGGGACGAAUGCUCUAUGGGCCCAAUAUAGUCUUAAAUGCUGCAAGGGAAAGAAGAAUUUCCAGGAGCUGGAAAUAUGUAAUGGCAUAAUCCAUGCCUGUCGUCGAACACACACUAAGGUGCUGGAAGUAACUGAGGACUUCAUAUCAGAAACACUGACGUUUUUCACCACACAGAGAUAAAAUGCUACAAUCUAAGAUCUUACUUCAGCCCAAAGCAGAAACUUGUGGAAAAGAAGACACACAGAACACUUAAUUAGUUGUUUUAGAAUGUAUUUUGUUAUGUAAGAUUUGGAAUGUUUCAGUUUGUGCAAUGUUUGAGUAUAUCAAAUGUGAAAGUAAAAUAAGAUAUCAGUUAUGCUAUUGAUUUCAUUUAGAUGUAAUGUAUGUUACAGUGCAUUUAUCUUUGUCUUUGUAUGUUUGUGUAGUUUGUGUAGUUUUUGGCGUUAACAAAUACAAUUAUGUUUUACCAAAUGUUAUUGUUUGAAUUGAUAUUUGUUUAUAAAAAGAUCCCAGGGCAAUGUUUGGAGCAUAUUUGCAUAUUUUAUAUAACGUUUAAACAUUCAAAAAACACGUUUUCCCUAA